CUUUGACAGCGAGGGUGGUAAUUCCUGGAGAAGAUGAACCCCUCAUACCGACAGAGCAGAGACAAGGGAUCCUGAGAACUGGAUAAUCCAUAGACAUGGAUUUUGGGCAAUGAAAAUGCUGAAGGAUGUGAUUAUGUUGGACCAGGAGAAGACAAGUUUAAAUUCAGUGUUAUAUCUGAAGUAACUGCUGUUUAUGCACUUAACCUUGUGACAGAGUAAAAACAGUGCCAGGAGCAUAUUGUGGAGAUGUUGUUACGUGAAAAAGUGUUUAUUCCCCUUUAAAAAUUUAUGAACUUGCAAAGAAGCCAUGCAAGGAUGAUGUGGCUGUUCCUCUGUCCUGAGUGUGAGUGUCAGCAGUUAGCAGCCAAAACAUAUGUGUCCCUUGUUCCCUUUGCUGGGACAGCAGGUAUUUCUGAAUCUAGGAACCUGGUCCUGAAAAUUGCUGACUAAAUUCUAACUAGUGUUUACUGGAAUCCACUGGAGGGGUGAUCCCUGAGACCACUUUUACCUGGUCUCUGGGAACUGUAGCCUGUUGGAGGCCCCAGUCCUGGAGGCUUCAGAACUCUUUCAACUCUUGGUAACUUUGGCAUUAAGGGUCACUCAGUACCUCCUAGGAGGAGGCCCUGACUGCUUUCAACUUUUAAAAUCAAUGGUUUUGAUCUUGACAAUCUGGCCUGGAAGAUUUUAAUUUUACUGGUUUUAGCUUGAACUUGAAACUGACUUAAAUGGCGUUUGUGCCCUCAGUACUGGAUAUUACUGUGUUAGAACCUUCCCUUUGCCGGUCUUGCAGAUGCAAGUCAGUCCUUUUUCUUUAGGCAACUGUAUGUAAUGGACUGAGAUCAGGGAUUAAUUUGGCCAGGGAUAAUUGAAAUGAUAAGUAAAAUAAACCAAAACAAAACAUAAAGCAAAACUUUGAGUUUGGAAUAGCUUCUGAGAUUCUGAAAGUAACUGAAGUAAUCCAGAAGAAAAUAUGCCAUGAAAUCUGUUUUCCAUUAUUGCAUGAGAUGGUAUGACUUAAAAUUUGAUCAAAUCUAUUUUUUUCAUGAUGAAGUUAAUGCCACUUAAAGUGAUGUAGAGAUCUGGGGUCUUUUUCCAUGUAGAAUUACAAAUUAUUGUAGACUUGACAUUCUCAUUUGUUUCUUUAUUGAUGAUUCACUGUCAUGAUCUCACAGCAAGUAAAAAUAAUUUCUGAUUGAUUUCCAGCUGCCAGUAGAAUUUUUGAAAGAUGUUGUAGUAAAAGCUCAUUGAUGUGUUUGUACCUACUAGCCUUCUGAUCCAGACCCAGUCUCUUGUAUAUAAUCAAAGUGCAAUGGGGGAGACUUGAUGUCCUGUCUUGCAUUCUAUUUAAGAAAAAGUGCAGUCAUUUAUGUGAAGUCCUGUGCUCAUAUUUAUCUGUGGGUUUUGUGAGAUCCCCCAAUAAAGUCAAGAUUGAGGGACAA